rnacentral:snRNA from 1 species
UGCCUGAGCGGGGUAAAGCCAG